rnacentral:lncRNA from 1 species
AAGUGAACAUUUUCCAUUUUACAUGGGGCAAAGUGUAGGUUUUUAAAUGACAGGGGAGGAAAGUGAAAAAUCGGGUUUUGACAUGAGGGUUUUAUGUAAUUUAGGCUUAAAAUUUUCGAUCAGAAAUAUUGAUCUUGUUGUAGAUAGUACAAAGAAUUUUGUAUCAAAAGUUAUUUGAUUCGAAUACUUUUACACCGUUAAACUUGAAAACGGCAGAUAUCAACAUUAAAAAUUAUUGAUUUUGAAUCAUUUCGAUUGUUAGGUAAAUGAUAUCGAAAAAUCGCAAAAAUUAUUUUCUAUAAACUUCAAAUACACUAGAUCAAGUCUAACAGAGCUGAUUGUCGAUUCGAAAAUUCCAUCAUCGAAAACGGCUCAGGAGCCUCCGUGACCUUGAGAGCACAGCAGUCCUGCUCUCUCUCUCUCUCUCUCUCUCUCUCUCUCUCUCUCUCUCUCCGGCUACUAUGCUAUUAAUAGCACGAAGCACAUGGUGCUACCAAGUUUUCUGCCGUUAGAUCUACUCUUUUAAUCAUUUUCACCCGUUAGAUCAUACUAUUCAACCAACCACCCACUUAACCCUAGGGGGCCCAUAUCAUUCUAACCGCACAUCUCUUAAUCCAAUGGCCAACAAUUUAGUAGCACCAAUGACUUGGUGCUAUUAAUAGUAUAUUAGCUUAGUUCUAUAUAUAUAUAAAGAGAGAGAGAGAGAGAGUCCAGCUACUAUACUUUUAUGAGUAUUGACUCCCUUAUACUCAUAAGUUUUCGGCCCUUAGAUUUAUUCCAUUAAUCAUUUUCAUCUGUUAGAUCAUACUAUUUAACCAACUACCCACUCAACCCUAGGGGUUCACUAUCAUUUUAAGUGCGGACGACCAUCAUCCUAACCACAUAUUCCAUCAAUCAACGGUUAAAAAUUUAUGAGUAUAAGGGAGUCUAGAGUAGGGCUAGAAUACUUGUAAAAGUAUCAUGGGGGUGAUACUUGUGUGUUUUUAGCCCUUGGAUGGAGAGAUGUGAGGUUGAGAUGAUGGUGGUAGAUGGUGGUAGGUGGUGGUAGGUGGAAUAGUGUUUAAUCCAAUGGCUAUUAAUAAUCAAAAAGUAGAUCCAAUGGCUUAAAACCUAAUAGCACCAUGAUGGUGAUACUUGUAAAAGUAUCAUAGCUCAACUCAGGGAGUCUAUACUCAUAAGAGUAUAGUAGCCCCAGCCUAUAUAUAUAUAUAUAUAUAUAUAUAUAUAUAUAU